UACGUAGGCGGUUAAAUAAGUCAGGUGUAAAAGGCAUUGGCUCAACCAAUGUAAGCACUUGAAACUGUUUGACUUGAGUAUAGGAGAGGUAAGUGGAAUUCCUAGUGUAGCGGUGAAAUGCGUAGAUAUUAGGAGGAACACCAGUGGCGAAGGCGACUUACUGGACUAUUACUGACGCUGAGGUACGAAAGCGUGGGGAGUAAACA
rnacentral:rRNA from 1 species